AUAGCAUAUAUUCCAAUCAUCUGUAAGCUGGUAAUUGUGGGCAUUUGGCUUUCCUUUGGUCCGCCAAGAAUAACCAACUCCUAAAGAUAUCCCAUUUUUAAACCCACCUUCCUCUUCCUCUCUCAUUUUCCCCUCUGCGUUUUCGUUUCCCUUUCUUCUUCUUCUUCUUCUUCUUCUUCCCUCCCUGCACAACCAAAUGUAGUGGAGUCUUUCCUCCUUUUUUCUUCAGAGGCCUUUCUUCUUCUGGUUUAGAGGGUCCCAUACUGGAUUUCAUACUUGUAAUUUGGGACACCCAGGAAGCCUAAACCAUGUUGGUGGAAGAGACCAUAGAAGAAACGAAAGGAAACCCAGAAAUGGAAUCACCAACGGGUCUGAGGAAGAUGGAGCCGUGCGAGGACGAGCCAUCAC